rnacentral:tRNA from 2 species
GCCGAAGUGGUGGAAUUGGUAGACACGCUAUCUUGAGGGGGUAGUAGGCCACGCCUGUGCGAGUUCGAGUCUCGCCUUCGGCACCA